GUAACACUACCAAAUAUCAAAUAGAAACAAACCUCGAUUAAUACCCACUGAAAUUUUUGUAUUGUCAUUGACUUGUGUGUUCAGAUAUUUGAAGCAAUUCACACUGAUUGAAGGAACAAGAAUCACAUACUAGGAUGAUUUAUUGCUUGUAUUCUUGUAGAUAAGGGGAGCUUGCACUGGAAGGAGAUCAUUAUUUGACAACAGGGGAGCUUGUGAGUCUCAGUGAGCAGCAGCUUGUGGACUGUGAUCAUGAGUGUGAUCCAGAAGAAUACGGUUCAUGUGACUCAGGCUGUACUGGUACGGUUCGUGUGACUCAGGCUGUACUGGUGGACUAAGUCAAGGCUGGUGGUUUGGAGCAAGAGAAGGACUACCCUUAAAAACAGUGGGACUGAUCGUGGUACCUGCAAAUUUGACAAGAGUAAAGAUGUUGCUACUGUAUCCAACUUCAGCAUUCUUUCCCUUGACGAAGAUCAAAUUGCUGCAAAUUUGGUCCACAAUGUACUUUUGCCAUUGAAAUAUAGGUUUGGAUCGUUUCCUUCAAGUCUGAGAAUAAUGAACUACCAAGAGAGUUGUGUACUCUAGACCAUAUGUAAACCAUGUUUGCUGCAAUAUAAGUUUCUUUUGUUCCAAAA